AACGAACGCUGGCGGCAUGCCUAACACAUGCAAGUCGAACGAUGCCUUCGGGCAUAGUGGCGCACGGGUGCGUAACGCGUGGGAAUCUGCCUUUCGGUUCGGAAUAACUCAGGGAAACUUGAGCUAAUACCGGAUAACGUCGCAAGACCAAAGAUUUAUCACCGAAAGAUGAGCCCGCGUAGGAUUAGCUAGUUGGUGAGGUAAAGGCUCACCAAGGCGACGAUCCUUAGCUGGUCUGAGAGGAUGAUCAGCCACACUGGGACUGAGACACGGCCCAGACUCCUACGGGAGGCAGCAGGGGGGAAUAUUGGACAAUGGGCGAAAGCCUGAUCCAGCAAUGCCGCGUGAGUGAUGAAGGCCUUAGGGUUGUAAAGCUCUUUUACCCGGGAAGAUAAUGACGGUAUCGGGAGAAUAAGCCCCGGCUAACUCCGUG
rnacentral:rRNA from 1 species